AAUUCCGCUGAAAAAGUCAUGAACAUAAAAGUUAUAGAACUCAUCAAGACAUACAACUUUUAUGUUGGUCAUUUCUUCAUCCGACAAAGUGAUAGUAACAUUGUUCAUAAAAUUUACAUGAUGAUAUGUAAAUUUUAUGAACAAUGUUACUAUCACUUUGUCGGAUGAAGAAAUGACCAAAAUAAAAGUUAUAUAUCCUGAUGAAUUAUACAACUUUGUUGUUGAUGACUUUUUCAAUUGAAAUU
rnacentral:pre_miRNA from 1 species